UCCCUGCUGGCUCAGAUGGUAAAGAAUCUGCCUGCAAUGCGGGAGACCUGGGUUCGAUCCCUGGGUCGGGAA
rnacentral:tRNA from 1 species